rnacentral:lncRNA from 1 species
GGGUUAGCGUCCAACCUCCUUUCUCCGCUUCAGCCCCGCCCGCCCUGCUAUUCUCCUAGCCGCUUCUCCCGCACAACCUACGGGGGGAGAGGCGGGGCUGGGGCUCCAGCCGCCCUAGGAGAUCCUCCCCUCCUCCCGCCUGCUUCCCCGCCUCGCUCCCUCUCCCGUCUUUUCUCUUUCCUCCUCUCUCCUCCCCACCCCCCCCCGCCACUGGCCCCUCCCCGCCCUCUCCCACCUCCCUCCACCCUCCCCCCUCCUCCCUCCGCGCCUGGGCCGCUGAAGGCUGAGUCAUCGCUGCGGCGCUGCCGGGAGAGCAGGCGAGCAGCUCACAUCCCACCGCGAUGUGGCCGACAGGAUUCCGGACUUUCGGGAGAAUAUGGUGGAAACUGGAGCUGUUCGCCGUGCACGGGGGUCCGCAGCCCCCCAGUACAUAGUUGUAUAUUCUAGUUGUAGGUUCCUCUGGUUACGCUAUGUGGGAUGCCGCCUCAGCAUGGCCUGAUGAGCAGUGCUAGGUCCGUGCCCAGGAGCCGAACCAGUGAAACCCUCGGCUGCCGAAGUGGAGCUCGCGAACUUAACUACUUAGCUGCAAAACAUAGGGCUGGACCCUAUGUUUUGAUACUUUCAUAAUAAAAAGUUUUUUUGACUUUUAAUUUAAGACUAGUGGGUCUUGCCAUUCAGCUUAUAGAUUAUGAACUUCUGGGAGUAGGAUCCAGGUCUGGAUAAACUAUAUUUCUCUCGCAGCACCGAGUUCAUAAUAAAUACUCAA